rnacentral:rRNA from 1 species
GACGAACGCUGGCGGCGUGCUUAACACAUGCAAGUCGAACGAAGAGCGAUGGAAGCUUGCUUCUAUCAAUCUUAGUGGCGAACGGGUGAGUAACGCGUAAUCAACCUUCCCUUCAGAGGGGGACAACAGUUGGAAACGACUGCUAAUACCGCAUACGAUCUAAUCUCGGCAUCGAGGAUAGAUGAAAGGUGGCCUCUACAUGUAAGCUAUCACUGAAGGAGGGGAUUGCGUCUGAUUAGCUAGUUGGAGGGGUAACGGCCCACCAAGGCGAUGAUCAGUAGCCGGUCUGAGAGGAUGAACGGCCACAUUGGGACGGAGACACGGCCCAGACUCAUACGGGAGGCAGCAGUGGGGAAUCGUCCGCAAUGGACGAAAGUCUGACGGAGCAACGCCGCGUGAGCGAUGACGGCCUUCGGGUUGUAAAGCUCUGUUAAUCGGGACGAAAGGCCUUCUUGCGAAUAGGGAGAAGGAUUGACGGUACCGGAAUAGAAAGCCACGGCUAACUACGUG